UAUAGACAAUGCCAAACCAUCCGCAAGGAUGGGGCGGAAAACCUACGGGAUCUCAUCGAGACAGCCGGGUUGCCUGA
rnacentral:ncRNA from 1 species